AACGCACAUUGCGCCCCUUGGUAUUCCGAGGGGCAUGCCUGUUCGAGCGUCAUUAUGACCACUCAAGCCUGGCUUGGUAUUGGGGUUCGCGGUCCCGCGGCUCUUAAAAUUAGUGGCGGCGCCAUCUGGCUCUAAGCGUAGUAAUCUUUCUCGCUACAGAGUCCCGGUGGAUGCUUGCCAGCAACCCCCUAUUCUCUUAGGUUGACCUCGGAUCAGGUAGGGAUACCCGCUGAACUUAA
rnacentral:misc_RNA from 1 species